GGAGCUCAGUGGUAUAGCAUCUGCUUUGCAUUCAGACGGUCCUGUGUUCAAAUCCAGACAUCUCCA